AGAGUUUGAUCCUGGCUCAGGAUGAACGCUAGCUACAGGCUUAACACAUGCAAGUCGAGGGGCAGCAUGUUGGUUGCUUGCAACCAAUGAUGGCGACCGGCGCACGGGUGAGUAACGCGUAUCCAACCUACCCUUGUCCAUCGGAUAACCCGUCGAAAGGCGGCCUAACACGAUAUGCGGUUCUCAGCAGGCAUCUAACGAGAACGAAAUGUGAAGGAGAAGGAUGGGGAUGCGUCUGAUUAGCUUGUUGGCGGGUAACGCCACCGAAGGCGACGAUCAGUAGGGGUUCUGAGAGGAAGGUCCCCCANAUUGGAACUGAGACACGGUCCAAACUCCUACGGGAGGCA
rnacentral:rRNA from 1 species